rnacentral:lncRNA from 1 species
AUUAUUGUCAGUUUAACAAAAUAAUUUCGGCUAUCAAAGAUCAAGUGGGAUAAAUUUCAGAGGAAGAAACUGAGCUCCUUGGGUCACUUUGAGUUCUGGCUGUCUUACAGAGGAAAAAAUAGAGCUGAUCAUGACCAUUAUAAAAACGUAUUAUGUGCAAGUAAAUCACUAAGUCAAAAUGGACGAACUGGUUCGAUGUGUGUGUAUGUGUAUGUCUAGGUACACAGCUGUGUGUGUGUCUAGGUGUGUAGCUGUGUGUGUGUCCACACACAUUUUGAAAAUCAACAGGUUAGCAGAAACAGGAUGACGAAGGAAGAAUGAGAAAAAGAGAUAGUUAUAAAGAGUCACUGAUAAUAAGCAAAACAUUCUUAGGAUAUGUGGGUGUAUGUAAUCAGUGGCCUUUUUGUACAAAUACAUCUUUUUUGACAUAUUAGCUUCCAUCGACAUCAACCGAAGCUGAUUUCAGAAUGUCAAGGAGAACUAGUGAGAAGUAAAAGUGACUGUAAAAGUAGUGGAAGUAGAAGCAGUGAAGAUGUAGAGAAGUUUGUGAAAGAAGUAAAAUAGACGUAGAUGGUCAUCACAUUUAAAUAAAGAUACCAUAGAGCUGCCCAUGAGGGCUGUGGUGUGAGUCUGCUAGCCGUGAGAGACAGAUGCAUUACAAAGGGAUGGAUUUAGUGCACUCUUUCCUCUCUUACGCACAGCCUGAACAGCCAGUGAACAAUGAAACAAAACUUCUUCCCAAGCCUCAAUGAGGAUUGUGCCAUAGUUUGAA